AGGAGUGAACUAGCUAACUGAAAUCAUAGAAUUUUUUCAAAUUCAUGAUGUCGUAAGGGAAAAUAAUGAUAAUACCUUACUAUGAGUGUCGUCCAAAUCUGGUGCCAGAAGACUCGGUAAGACCAGAGACGCAAACGUUAAUCAUCAUAAACAGGCGUAAAGGGUUUGUAGGCAGCUUUUAUAGGAUUCUUUUUAAAGAUAAUCUAAAUUGAAAGCUAGAAUCAAAAAGAGGUUAUAGUGUAUAACGCCUAGAGGAGGGCUGAUAUCCGUAGAUCCUAGGCAGAAUACUCAGGGCGAAGGCCACUUUCCACUAAUGAUUGACGCUGAGAAACGAAGGUUAGGGUAGGAAAUAGGAUUUUAAAUUGCGACCUGAAAAGCUUAUUUAAGUAUAGCGGAGUAACUCCGCCUAAAUAUUCCAUCUUAUUAGAGUUCGCCUUAAUAAACGAGCAUUGGUAACAAUCUAGUUUAAAGCUUAAGGUAUAAACUAAAUAAUAUUAUUUGGGUUGAACUGUCUUCUAUGGUGUAGAGAAAUCUCCUCUAUUGUCUU
rnacentral:rRNA from 1 species